rnacentral:rRNA from 1 species
UACGGAGGGAGCUAGCGUUGUUCGGAAUUACUGGGCGUAAAGCGCACGUAGGCGGCUUUGUAAGUUAGAGGUGAAAGCCCGGGGCUCAACCCCGGAAUUGCCUUUAAGACUGCAUCGCUUGAAUCCGGGAGAGGUGAGUGGAAUUCCGAGUGUAGAGGUGAAAUUCGUAGAUAUUGGGAAGAACACCGGUGGCGAAGGCGGCGACCUGGUCCUUGACUGACGCUGGAGGCGCGAAAGCGUGGGGAGCAAACAGG